ACGAACGCUGGCGGCAUGCCUAACACAUGCAAGUCGAACGAGACCUUCGGGUCUAGUGGCGCACGGGUGCGUAACGCGUGGGAAUCUGCCCUUGGGUUCGGAAUAACAGCUAGAAAUGGCUGCUAAUACCGGAUGAUGACGUAAGUCCAAAGAUUUAUCGCCCAAGGAUGAGCCCGCGUAAGAUUAGCUAGUUGGUGGGGUAAAGGCCUACCAAGGCUACGAUCUUUAGCUGGUCUGAGAGGAUGAUCAGCCACACUGGGACUGAGACACGGCCCAGACUCCUACGGGAGGCAGCAGUGGGGAAUAUUGGACAAUGGGCGAAAGCCUGAUCCAGCAAUGCCGCGUGAGUGAUGAAGGCCUUAGGGUUGUAAAGCUCUUUUACCCGGGAUGAUAAUGACAGUACCGGGAGAAUAAGCUCCGGCUAACUCCGUGCCAGCAGCCGCGGUAAUACGGAGGGAGCUAGCGUUGUUCGGAAUUACUGGGCGUAAAGCGCACGUAGGCGGCGAUUUAAGUCAGAGGUGAAAGCCCGGGGCUCAACCCCGGAAUAGCCUUUGAGACUGGAUUGCUUGAAUCUUGGAGAGGUGAGUGGAAUUCCGAGUGUAGAGGUGAAAUUCGUAGAUAUUCGGAAGAACACCAGUGGCGAAGGCGGCUCACUGGACAAGUAUUGACGCUGAGGUGC
rnacentral:rRNA from 1 species